rnacentral:tRNA from 1 species
CGGAGCGUAGCGCAGCCUGGUAGCGCACCUGCCUUGGGAGCAGGGGGUCGAACGUUCAAAUCGUUUCGCUCCGA